GGGAAGGCGGGGGACCCGGGACUUCCAAGUGUCCAAAAACAAUCCAUUGAUACACUUGGUGACAUUAAUUGAGAAAAAAACAAUAUGGUCUGGCCAUGGAGGCAUGGUAUCCGUAACAUCCCCCAAAGGAGCUAAAGAAGAAAUCCACAAUUUACCAUGAGCAUUUCUCGUCUGAAGAUUGCCAAGCGAUUCCUCCAGGACAUUCCUCAAGAUCAAUUUCUGUUCAUCCACCUUGUCCUGGGAGGGACAUCAAUGGGUUUCCAUGUCCUUUGGCUUCUGGUUGAGUUCACUCAGUGGAGAACCCUGGCAAGAGGCAGGAAAAGGGGAGGAAGGUAAGAUCAGGGUAUUUUCUCCAGUGGCUUCCUACAUGAGAAGUCAUUUUGGGUUGGCUGUUUCCCCCAAGUGAAGAUCAUUGACUCUCUAAAGCUGGCCAACUCAACUUGUCCUUUUACUAAUUGGAUCAAGUAAUUGCUACCUCUGUUUGUCCUUUUGAGUCUAAAAAUGGCAAGCCCCAGGUUACUGCAUUGUCUUUUGUGAUUUCCCUAUACCACACCUCUGUAAAUAAACCUUUCUUAAAUCAUCCCUUUUUGAAUGUGCCAUCUGCUUCCUGUUGUGGCUCUGAGCUAUAUAAAUAUGAUGUGAAAAACCUAGGACACAACGUAGAUCAAAGAGUGCCUGGAAGAAUCUUUUUUCCCCCUUAUUUUAUUUUAUUCUUCCCAUAUUUACCAGUGAGAUAUCUUUAUAUUACCCCUGAGAUCUGAAACCGUAAAACAUAAAACAUAGAAGUGUUUUUUUUAAACAUUUUAUUUUAUUUUUUAUUUAUUUAAUUUUUACAUUUUAUUUUAUUUUAGGCUUUAUGAUACAUGUGUUGAAUGUGCAGGUUCGUUACAUAGGUAAAUGUGUGGCAUGGUGGUUUGCUGCACCUAUCAACCCAUCACCUAGGUAUUAAGCCCUGCAUGCAUUAGCUAUUAGUCCUGAUGCUCUCCCUCCCCCGCACCCCCUAGCAGGUCCCUGGUGUAUGUUGUUCCACUCCCUGUGUUCAUGUAUUCUCAUUGUUCAACUCCCACUUAUGAGUGAGAACAUGCAGUGUUUGAUUUUCUGUUCCUGUGUCAGUUUACUGAGGAUACUGGCUUCCAGCGUCAUCCACGUCUCAGUAUAGGACAUCAUCUCAUUCCUUUUUAUGGCUGCAUAGUAUUCCAUGGUGUAUAUGUAUCACAUUUUUCUUUAUCCAGUCUACCAUUGUGGGCAUUUGGGUUCAUUCCAAGUCUUUAAUAAGGGUUUGGUCUUACCUGAUUUAUGUUAGAAGGAAACCAUUUGUUUGGAAUGAAUAGAGUAAAUCUUUUGGGAAAAUAGAAAAAAAGAUUAUUUUAAAAUCAUGUGAAUAUUUAGGUCUAAGAGUUGUCCAUGAAUCCUUAGCUCAGUGUUCAUAGAUCCCUACAAACAAGAUCUAUGAAUAGAAUUCUUGGAAUCCUUAAGUUAGGAUAGGAAAAAAUUACAUCUUUAUUUUUUCUAACCUCUAUUUGAAAUGUAGUAUUUCUUUCCAUCACAAGUGUAUGUGACAAGACACAAUAGUGUUGGUCAUUACUAAGGCUUUAUCACCGACAAAAAUCAUAGGUAUUUUUAUAUCACACUGCAGUGUUGUAAAAAUCUCAAGAUAUCAUCUAUACUCUUCACUGCUUCGAAAUUAUGGUAGUUGGUAGACCCACCUUCAGGUCUUGUUAUUGGCGGCAUUAAUAAGGAAGUGUAUAUGUUAUGUUUCACAAUUUUAUUUUCUAAAUACUUUCAGAUUGCAACUGCAUUUCCAUAUAAUUU
ensembl:lncRNA SOX9-AS1 SOX9 antisense RNA 1